rnacentral:rRNA from 1 species
UACAGAGACUGCAAGCGUUAUUCGGAGUCACUGGGCGUAAAGGGUGCGCAGGCGGCCAAGUGUGUGAGGCGUGAAAGCCUGGGGCUUAACUCCAGAAUUGCACCUCAAACUACAUGGCUAGAGCAUUGGAGAGGGUAGCAGAAUUCACGGUGUAGCAGUGAAAUGCGUAGAUAUCGUGAGGAAUACCAGAGGCGAAGGCGGCUACCUGGACAAUUGCUGACGCUCAGGCACGAAAGCGUGGGGAGCAAAAGGG